CGGCGAACGGGUGAGUAACACGUGGAUUAUCUGCCCUGAGGUGGGGGAUAACCCGGGGAAACUCGGGCUAGUACCGCAUGAUACCGAGAGGUCAAAGGGGGCUCGCAAGGGCUCUCGCCAUAGGAGGAGUCCGCGUCCGAUUAGCUAGUUGGUAGGGUAAUGGCCUACCAAGGCGACGAUCGGUAGCCGGCCUGAGAGGGUGAUCGGCCACACUGGAACUGAGACACGGUCCAG
rnacentral:rRNA from 1 species